GAUAACCAGUCGAAAGAUUGGCUAAUACCGGAUAAGCCCACGGUUUCUUCGGAGACUGAGGGAAAAGGUGGCCUCUGUAUACAAGCUAUCACAUUCAGAUGAGUCCGCGGCCCAUCAGCUAGUUGGCGGGGUAAUGGCCCACCAAGGCAACGACGGGUAGCUGGUCUGAGAGGACGAUCAGCCACACUGGAACUGAGACACGGUCCAGACUCCUACGGGAGGCAGCAGUGGGGAAUUUUGCGCAAUGGGCGAAAGCCUGACGCAGCAACGCCGCGUGUGUGAUGAAGGUCUUUGGAUUGUAAAGCACUUUCGACCGGGAAGAAAACCCGUUGGCUAACAUCCAACGGCUUGACGGUACCGGGAGAAGAAGCACCGGCUAACUCUGUGCCAGCAGCCGCGGUAAUACAGAGGGUGCAAGCGUUGUUCGGAAUUAUUGGGCGUAAAGCGCGUGUAGGCGGCGUGACAAGUCGGGUGUGAAAGCCCUCAGCUCAACUGAGGAAGUGCGCCCGAAACUGUUGUGCUUGAGUGCCGGAGAGGGUGGCGGAAUUCCCCAAGUAGAGGUGAAAUUCGUAGAUAUGGGGAGGAACACCGGUGGCGAAGGCGGCCACCUGGACGGUAACUGACGCUGAGACGCGAAAGCGUGGGGAGCAACAGGAUUAGAUACCCUGGUAGUCCACGCCCUAAAACAUGAGAACUAGGUGUCCUGGGAGUUGACCCCCC
rnacentral:rRNA from 2 species